CAAGGUAAAGAAUGUCUGUUCCCAAUGAUGUUCUUUACCCACACAACAAGCAAAAGCCAAAAACUUGGAAGGAAAUUAGUCAAUAUAUAAGGGACUGUUCCUUGCAUUCCUUUCCAUGCUUUUUAACCUUUCCAACUUGCAUAUAUCCAUAGAAAGAUAGUGAUUGAAAAAGGAAUGAGCUUCCAUAAUUAAUCCAAAGAUUCGAUCCUGAGAGAAAGUAGAAUACGACAUGUCGGUCUUCUCAAGCCAUCCACUUGACGUCGUUUUCUUUGGAACGCGGUCGACAUCGGACUUCAUUUAUAAGCCGGAAAGUCAAGGUGUACAACCAAUGAAACGACAUGUUAUUUUGCUUUUGGGUUUUUCUUUAAAUAGUAAUAAACAACUGCAUUAGUGUGUUUUUA